GCUCAUAUCCCACUGUGCGGGCGAGAAAAAAAAAUCCUGCAUCAGGUUCAUUUCUUUUUCUUUUUCAAUUUUACCGCUCCUAAAUCUGCAGUCAACGCUAUGGCGAACUAUAAGCAAGAAUUCAUUUGAAUGCAUGACACAAGGACGCCAACGCAGCGAUGUUCUAAGGCCGGAGGCCGUGAUUGUCGAUAGAAGAAUUAUGAGAAGAGCUCUGUGGUACAGAGUGAUAGAAAAUAUUACCAUUAC